GAGGCACCUCUGCAGAUGGGCCAGUUGGUAUACCUUCGGGACCACAGUGCUAGAGGACGACACAAGAUCCAGGAUCUUUGGAGUCCAGUGGUUCAUCAGGUGCUUACAGUACCUAUGGGACAGGGGUCUGUGUACACAAUCACUCCAGUGGACACCUUGCAUAAGACAAGAAAUGUCCACCGUGAUAUGUCAAAGGGCCAAGUCCCCCCAAGCUCCAUUGUGGAACCACCUCAGGUCCCAACCCAAUCCACCUCGGCCAUAGCGGCUGACGAUCCUCCUGGGGAGGAGGACUUAUGGCUUAUUGUUUCCUGCCCAGCCCCAGUCGAGCCUUGUCAUGCUGGCUCAAGUUCCUCGGGGCCCCUUGAGCCAACACCAUUACAGAACAUGCCAGUUUUGGAACAUGGCUCAGUUCAGUAUGGUAGCCCACCCCGGGAGCCGUUUGACUUCUCCGGUGAAACGGCAAGUUUUUCCCUGCCGGUCCGGCGGCAGACGGGGCGUUCCAGGGCCGGUCAGCACUCCAACGUCUACCACCUUCCAAGGCCAGCUGUGAAAGGUCCUGAAGGUUAGGUACCUUGAUUAUGCAUGGGUAGCGUUAGCCAGCCCGUUCAAGUUGUUCGAAAUUCUGUCUCACAGGUAGUCGUCGGGGCGACGACUCAAAAAGGGGGGGGUAGAAUGUGGCAGGUUGAGCUAUACCUCUGGCUGGUCUCGGAGUAUGAUUGGGCGAGCCAUAGCCAUCCUGAUUAGGGAGGCGGACUUUAUUUUAAUAUAAGGUUGGUGGACGUCAUCGGGAAGGAUAUGUCCUACCCGUUGUUUUGCCUCCGGGGCGUCCAUUACUCGGUGGCGUAGGCUGGAAGUUGGUUGCUUGCGAAUUAGGUGCUGGUUUGGGAUCACCUGGAGCCGUAGAUGAGCUGCGACUUCGCUCUCCAUGACCGGCGGUUCCAAACGGAGGCAUUCAUCAGCCCCAUGCCUUGAAGUGGAUCGUGGCCAAUUACCCCGACGUCACCGAAGGGCUGCUGUUCUGUUGCGCCACAAAUUAACUCUCACAUGCAUGACGACCUGCAUGCGCACUUAAUUGUUUUCUUUGUUUUAUGUUUAUUCAGUUAAGUAGUGGUGUGCUGCCCGUCUGCCCUGCCUGCCCUGCAUGGCAUGCUGCUUACUGUUUGUGCUAACGUGGUUGUCCAGUGUUGUGCGUCUCCUGGCUCUGCUUGACCUGCAUUCGCAUUCUAUUGUUUUCUUUGUUUUAUGGUAUUCAGCUACGCAGUGGUGUGCUGCCCGUCUGCCUUGCCUGCCCCGCAUGGCAUGCUGUUUACUGUAUGUGCUAAUGUGGUUAUGCAGUGUUGUGCGUCUCCUGGCUCUGCUGACCUGCAUGCGCAUUCUAUUUUCUUUGCUUUAUAGGUUAAUGCUACGCAGUGGUGUGCUGCCCAUCUUCUCUGCUUGACCUGCAUGCUACUUUAUGCUUUUGUUUGUUUAAUUUGUCGGUUCUUUUCAUUUCUUUUCAUUUAUUCGUCCAGUCUGCUACAUUUAUUGUGUUCAUCUUGUGUGUAAUUAGUAUCCAGU
ensembl:lncRNA